UACAGGACAAAGGGUCAUAUCAAUACAGGAGAACGAUUCAUAUCAAUACAGUAAAAGAGUCAUAUCAAUACAGGACAAAGGGUCAUAUCAAUACAGGAGAAAGAGUCAUAUCAAUACAGUAAAAUAGUCAUAUCAAUACAGGAGGAAUAUUCAUAUCAAUACAGGAGAGUCAUAUCAAUAAAGUAAAAGAGUCAUAUCAAUACAGGAGAAAGAUUCAUAUCAAUACAGGAGAGUCAUAUCAAUACAGGAGAAAGAUUCAUAUCAAUACAGGAUAAAGAGUCAUAUCAAUACAGGAGGAAGAUUCAUAUCAAUACAGGAGAGUCAUGUCAAUAAAGUAAAAGAGUCAUAUCAAUACAGGAGAAAGAGUCAUAUCAAUAUAAGAGAGAGAGUCAU
rnacentral:lncRNA from 13 species